UACAGGGGGGGCAAGCGUUGUUCGGAAUUCCUGGGCGUAAAGGGCUCGUAGGCGGCCAACUAAGUCCGACGUGAAAUCCCAAAGCUUAACUUUGGAACUGCGUCGGAUACUGGAUGGCUUGAAUUCGGGAGAGGGAUGCAGAAUUCCAGGUGUAGCGGUGAAAUGCGUAGAUAUCUGGAGGAAUACCGGUGGCGAAGGCGGCAUCCUGGACCGACAUUGACGCUGAGGAGCGAAAGCUAGGGGAGCAAACGGG
rnacentral:rRNA from 1 species